rnacentral:rRNA from 1 species
GACGAACGCUGGCGGCGUGCUUAACACAUGCGAGUCGAACGGAGAGGCCCCUUUGGGGGUCCUCGAGUGGCGAACGGGUGAGUAACACGUGAGUAACCUGCCCUUGACUUCGGGAUAACUUCAGGAAACUGGGGCUAAUACCGGAUAGGAAUCCUUGCUGCAUGGUGGGGGUUGGAAAGCUUCGGCGGUUUUGGAUGGACUCGCGGCUUAUCAGCUUGUUGGUGGGGUAGUGGCUUACCAAGGCUUUGACGGGUAGCCGGCCUGAGAGGGCGACCGGCCACAUUGGGACUGAGAUACGGCCCAGACUCCUACGGGAGGCAGCAGUGGGGAAUAUUGCACAAUGGGCGGAAGCCUGAUGCAGCAACGCCGCGUGCGGGAUGACGGCCUUCGGGUUGUAAACCGCUUUCAGCAGGGGCGAAGCUUGUGGUGACGGUACCUGCAGAAGAAGCACCGGCUAACUACGUG